rnacentral:antisense_RNA from 1 species
UUUGGCGUUGGGCUUGUUAUCAACAAUGGCGUUGCCAACGGCGUGCAACAAGUGGGUUUUACCUAAACCGGUACCGCCGUA